rnacentral:rRNA from 1 species
AUACGUAGGGUGCGAGCGUUGUCCGGAAUUACUGGGCGUAAAGAGCUCGUAGGUGGUUUGUCGCGUCGUCUGUGAAAUUCCGGGGCUUAACUCCGGGCGUGCAGGCGAUACGGGCAUAACUUGAGUACUGUAGGGGAGACUGGAAUUCCUGGUGUAGCGGUGAAAUGCGCAGAUAUCAGGAGGAACACCGGUGGCGAAGGCGGGUCUCUGGGCAGUAACUGACGCUGAGGAGCGAAAGCAUGGGUAGCGAACAGGAUUAGAUACCCUGGUAGUCCAUGCCGUAAACGGUGGGCGCUAGGUGUAGGGGUCUUCCACGACUUCUGUGCCGUAGCUAACGCAUUAAGCGCCCCGCCUGGGGAGUACGGCCGCA